rnacentral:rRNA from 1 species
UACCAAGAGAUUGAGCUGUAUGUUUUGGUAAAAAGAUAGUUAUGUGACUUUGAUUAAUAAAGUUUCUUGAUUAUUUAUUAAAAGGUAAAAUUUAGAUAUAGAUAAAAUAAACCAGGAAUGACUUAAAUGUGCUGAAGCUAUGAUAGCCUUGAGGGAAACUGGGAUUGGAUACCCCAUUAUUCUUGGCUGUAAAUUGAUGUUAAUCUACCUGAGUACUAUGAAUAUAAUGGUUUAAAACUCAAAGGGCUUGGCGGUGUUUUAGAUCACUCAGGGGAACCUGUUUCGUAAUCGACAAUCCACGAUAAACCUAACCUUCUUUCGUUUUCAGCUUGUAUACCGUCGUCGUCAGGUAACUUUUAAAAAUAAAAAAGCUAGCUAAUAAACUUUUAAGUUUGGACGUCAGAUCAGGGUGCAGUCUAUGGGAAGGUGAGAAUGGGUUACAAUUAUUAAUUUAUAAUUACGGAAAGUUAAGUUAAAUAUUAGCUUUGAAGGAGGACUUGAAAGUAAUUUUAAGUAUAUAAAUAAUGUGAAUUAGACUCUGAAACGUGC